GCGCGAACACUUUACAAUGCUGGCAACAGCGAUAAGGGAACCUCGAGUGCCAGGUUACACAUCUGGCUGUCGAGAUGCCUAAAAAGCAUUUCAUAGCAAGGGCCGGGCAAGACCGGUGCCAGCCGCCGCGGUAACACCGGCGGCUCGAGUGGUAACCGUUAUUAUUGGGUCUAAAGGGUCUGUAGCCGGCCGGAUAAGUCUCUUGAGAAAUCUGGCAGCUUAACUGUCCGGCUUUCAGUAGAUACUGUCUGGCUCGAGGCCGGGAGAGGUGAGAGGUACUUCAGGGGUAGGGGUGAAAUCUUGUAAUCCUUGAAGGACCACCAGUGGCGAAGGCGUCUCACCAGAACGGACCUGACGGCAAGGGACGAAAGCUAGGGGCACGAACC
rnacentral:rRNA from 1 species